GACGAACGCUGGCGGCAUGCCUAACACAUGCAAGUCGAGCGAGUUGAAUCUCUUCGGAGAUGAAGCUAGCGGCGGACGGGUGAGUAACACGUGGGCAACCUGCCUCAUAGAGGGGAAUAGCCUUCCGAAAGGGAGAUUAAUACCGCAUAAGAUUGUAGCUUCGCAUGAAGUAGCAAUUAAAGGAGCAAUCCGCUAUGAGAUGGGCCCGCGGCGCAUUAGCUAGUUGGUGAGGUAACGGCUCACCAAGGCGACGAUGCGUAGCCGACCUGAGAGGGUGAUCGGCCACAUUGGGACUGAGACACGGCCCAGACUCCUACGGGAGGCAGCAGUGGGGAAUAUUGCACAAUGGGGGAAACCCUGAUGCAGCAAUGCCGCGUGAGUGAUGACGGCCUUCGGGUUGUAAAGCUCUGUCUUCGGGGACGAUAAUGACGGUACCCCGAGGAGGAAGCCACGGCUAACUACGUGCCAGCGCCGC
rnacentral:rRNA from 1 species